UACAGAGGUCUCAAGCGUUGUUCGGAUUCAUUGGGCGUAAAGGGCGCGUAGGCGGCCCGCUAAGUCGAACGUGAAAUCCCCGGGCUCAACCCGGGAACUGCGUCCGAUACUGGCAGGCUUAAAUCCGGGAGAGGGAUGCGGAAUUCCAGGUGUAGCGGUGAAAUGCGUAGAUAUCAAGAGGAACACCUGAGGUGAAGACGGGUUGCUGGGCUGAUACUGACGCUGAGGAGCGAAAGCCCAGGGGAGCGAACGGG
rnacentral:rRNA from 1 species